rnacentral:lncRNA from 1 species
UCAAGAUGAAUGAUUUGCUUGGUGAAUACGAUUUAUUCUCUUUCACUCGAACGCUUUCUCUCCAGGCAGGCAACAGUGGGACUUUGCGAUUCCUCGUCACCUUGGUACAGAGGCUCUCUAACCUUUUCUCACUGGAUUUUUCUGGUCCGUUUUCAGGUUGGAGGGUGAGGGUGACAGAAGCUGGGAAAUGAAAGAUGGGAUUGUUUUCUUGUCAUCCUGUAUCCCUGCCACCUGGCGAUGGUGUUUCUGGUGAGUGGAGAUACAUAAUGGCUAUCUCAAUGCAACAUGCUCCUUAUUUCCUGGGGGUCAGGCACCAGGAGGACCAGGAGGGCAGAAGAUCUGCUGAAAUGUGACCCUAUGUGGAAUAGGGAUGAGAGUCCCUGAGCUUGUAGAGGGGUCUGAGGAAAUGACUUCAAGGGAAAGUUCACAGAACUCUGAAAUCAAUAGCUAAAAGUAAAAAUGCUCAUUUUCAAGAACAAAGUAUCAUUUAAAUGCUCCCAGGGGGUGAAUGAAGAGAAGGAGCUAAUCCUUGUCAAGUGAUGGAUAUAAAAUAAAAACCCAAAGUGGAAAAAAAAUCAAAUUUCAAUGCUAAAAUCUACCGCCACAUACAGAGAGAGCUGUAAGCUCCUAGGACAUUUGUAUUGAAUUCUUCAUAGCUUUUGCUUUUAAAUGAUAUCCUUUUCAUCUUUAGCUAAAUCCUUAACCUUAUGCACAUCGCAGGAGAGUUACCUGGAACUUGAUGGAUCUGUACAGAGGAGAAGACUGAGUUGGGGCAUCGGCAAAGACAGUGUUUCUCCAUGCUCCCGUUAUUCUUCCAGAGCUGUCAGGAGUGGAAAUCAUUUCACCUUUGCACUUAGAAUAAAGCAACUCGGCAUUAACAGUAAAUUGGCUUCGGCAUACUCUUAGAGAAAUUACAACGGAAACGAGAAAUGUUAUGAACCAGAUGCCGAAAAAGUCCCAGUGGCAAGAAUCAGAAGAGGGCACAAAGGUGUGCUUUUAUUUAAAAACUACAUGAGAAACAGACUUAUUGGAAGAAAUGCCUUUUUUUUAUUACAUCCUCUUAACAACCAAGCUAGUAAUCUAGCUCAAGUUGGCAAUAUGGCCCGCUAAAAGUCCUUGGGGGACAUGCACUAAUGGGCAGAUGAGAGUGACUUGUUGACACCUUCAUUGUUUUCAUCCUACACUGGACAUCAGUCGUUUGGCCCAUUUUUCAGAGACCCACUUGAACUGUCUGAACCUAUGAACUUCCCGAAAGUCUGGCCACCAAACUGCAUUAGGAGAGUCAUGGCUGCACAACCGAAGGGCAUUCAUUUUAUUCCCUGCCUUGGUGCAAGGGUCUCCCCAAACCAAGAUGGACACAUGUACUUCCUUUCAAGAGGCCACAAACAAGAACAUUUCAUUCCAUUCUGAGAUAAUGAUCCUAAUUGGUUAAAAUCACUUCAGAAUUUGCUUGUCUUCUUAUUAGUACAGAGACCAGAGUGGAGCUUUAUUAAGAAAAAUGUGAUUUUGAUACCCCAUUCUCCAUGAUGUGCUUAUUUCACAUUGCA